rnacentral:lncRNA from 1 species
GAGCAAAGAGACUGAAAAUUUCCCUCAGAUACAAGGCUUGUGAAAGCACCUGCAGGAUCAUAGGCUCCUGGAUCAUUUUUGAAAAUGAUGAAACCAAGGCCCAGGGAGAUCACAUGAGUCCUCAGCAGGCGUCAGAGGCAGGCUUCGAACCUGGGUCUUCUGAUUUGAGAACCAGCGUGCCCCUUCCUCUGAACCACGUGGCCUUGACAAGUGAUGGAAUGGGAAGGAUUAGGAAAAGGGAGGAGUCAGAUAACUCUGAAAUUUCAUCCAGGAGGCAGGGCCUUGGAUAAAUUGAGGGGUUCAAAAGAGGUUCAAGUCUGGGGGAAGAUAAGGCAGCCAGAUGGACCAGCCCCGGAAUCUUGCCUCACACUUACCAAAAGUGGGACUCGAGGGCAGACAAGACCGGUCUGGACUGCGUUCUCAUACAAAGCAAAAUGGACUGGAUGGAAGCCAGAAGGGGAGAUAUUGAGUGGGUUCACCAAAAGUGACCAACUUCGCUCCCUCUGCUGCCUCACCAAAAAGCUGUCUCGGUCAGCAAGUUUUAAAGGAAGAAAUCAUGACUUGGGUAUUUCACAGAAGGGGACAUUUUCAUUCAAAGGACCACAGGAUCACAGAUUGAGAGCUGAAGGGACCUUAGGCAUUAAUGAUUCUAAACCCCUCAUUAAAAAUAAUUUUUAAAAAGUUUUAUCAGAACCAUUUAUAUUUUUCUCACAGCUAUUUCUGGGGCAGGAAAGUGUCUGGGUUCUUCUUUUUAGAUCAGAAAUUCUUAACCUGAUAUUGACAGACCUCCCCCUCCUCACAGAUUUCAGGGCAUCUGUGACCUUAGAUAGGAACAAAAAUGACUUAAUUUUCACUAAGCUCUAACUGAAAUUGAAUAUUUCUUUCCAUUAUGAAUGUGGACAAAAAACCAUUUUUUGAGAAGGGCUUUCCCAGACAACCAGAGAGGUCCAUGACACAAAGAAGGUGAAGAAUGCUUGGUUUGGAUUCUAUUCUGACCCCUUCUUCUCCCCGCUCCUGAUCCUGAC